UGGAUUCAAAGUGUCUUUAUCGUCUGCUUUUCCUCCAUUUUCCUGGUUCCCACCCAACAUCAAAAGUUAUUGUUUUAAGCCUGUUUUUAGAUGGUUAAUUGUUAAUGAUAUCCGACCAGAGGUGAUUUGGAUAGUAUUUUAAAGGUGAUAGAAGUCUAUUUAAGCAUCAAGCCAUUAUUUUCCAUCUUUCGGUUGUUUCUCUAGGAUGUUUCAUGGUGCUCGUCCAGAUUGUCAAAAGAAAGCAAUCUCAAAUGAUUUGAUUGCUUUUAAUGAUGACCAUCAUUAUAAUUAUCAAGAUGUUCAUUAAUGAACUAUCAAUUAUGCAAUAAUAAUGAAAUGUUAUUUUUGUUUUGUAUGGACACAAAGUUAAUUAGCCAUUUGUUUGGGAAAAAAAGUUGACCCUUGAAAGCUAUUAAGCAACAACAAAAAAACAAUCUUUUUUUACUUCAAAUUUUUUCAUACCCAUCACAUAAACUGGGAGUGAUUUUACGUUGCAUAUUUAUGCAUGUUUAUUGGGUGAUAUUAUGCAUUUGCGUGAGAUUCAACUUCAAUCUCAUGGUUGCCAUAUAUUGAUAUAAUGUAUAAUGUUGAAGUCAACUGUUAAAUUUUACCAUGAUAAUUGUGAUAUAAAAGAAAGAGAAUCGCAAAGACAAGGAAGGAAAAGAUGAUGAUUAUGAUGGAGACGACGAUGAUGAUUAUAAGACAAGAAUAGUUGAAAGCAAAUUUGCAUGAAUUAACCGGAUCGAUGGAUUCAGUUGUUGCUCAAUGGAGAAAAAGGCCAAAUCUAAGUGAGAAAAAAAUUGACUAAAAAGUUGCCCAUUAUUUUCACAACAAAGUGUGUAACCUUUUGCGUUAGUUGAAGUCACAGUAAUAGACAAAACUUAUCGAUUGAUUGGUAUAAAAAAAAGUGGAGUAGAAAUAGAAAGUAAAUUAUUAUUAUUCAAUGUACAGUUCAAUGAGUGUUUGGUGGCUUUAUUAUUAUUAUUAUAUGUACAUUGUAUAACAGAGUGAGAAGGAACUAGACUUGGAUCGAGAGAAAGAUGAUGAUGAAGAAGAUGAGAGAAACGAUUCACUCGAAUGAAAAUGAAACCGAUUAAAUGUUAAUAUGAAUGGGCACCAGGCAAGAGGCAGAUGAUUUCUUCGCUCUAUCAUUCUUUCCUCCUCAUCUUUUUCUCAUCUUUCUUUAUCAUAUUCCUUCAUUCAUUCCAUUCUAUGUAUACACCAGACAUUAUCAUUUGACUUUUUAGAUUUAACAACUCAAAAAAUAGGUUACUCCAACGUCGUUAUAGCUCUUCUAAAAGACUAAUCACCAUUCAAUUAUGCUUAUUAUUAGCUUUUUUGGUUACUCAUUUUGUUUUUGAAAAUUUUUUGUGCUUUUUGAUUCAAUUUCAUUUCUCAUGAAGAUUUUACUUGUUUGGUAAUGGAGAAAGAUUUAUUGGUUCAUGUGCUUGUGUCAAAAGUCUAAAUCAUGGAACUAAUUUUACUAUUGAAUAGCUAUUUCUCAUAAUAAUCAUUCAAUGUUGAGUCAAUCUUUCUCACUUUUUCUUCAUUUCAUACCAACAUUGUAUGCAUCAUGAACCAUUUCAAAUUGCAAUGAAUAAAAAGAGAUAACUGAACCAAUGUUGAUGUAAAAUGAAGAAAAAAAGAGAAACAAGUAAAAGUAAAUUGCAUUCUUAAAUGAGCAUGAAAUGAAAUCGAAAUGUAAUCAAUCACAUGGCAAUUUCACCAAUUAGAAUGGUAAAGUUAUUGUAAAAUCAUAAAUGGAUUCAUCGUCGUCUUCAUCAUUACUGGCAACAUCCAUAAUCAUACAAGAUGAACCUGUUACCAAGCUGUUUUGACCUGAUCACUUGUAUCGUGAUAUAAUUGUGAAAGCCUCAACUAAUCAUGUUGAAAACAACAGAUUGGAUUACAAACAUCGAAAUAUCAACAGAAAUUGUUUAUCAACAUGAAAACAGUUAACAUGUGGCCUUGGAUUGUACAGAAAUAAUGUUAAACUGAUUAUACGACCCAAUGAACCAAUUAAUACCAAUCAAUUUAACUGUUGAAACCAACUGAAAGCCAAUUCAUCUCUUUUUUUUGUGCAUCUUUCCAUCAUCUGGUUAUCAGGAAAAGAAUGAUUUAUUCAUAAAUUGGAUUCUCAACUCACAAAUGGUCAUCAUAAUCAACACGCAAAUUGAUCGCAGAUUCAAGUUGGAGUAAUAAUCAUAGAGACCAAACAAAAUGUCAACCAAUCUCAUGAUGUUUCUCAUAAUGUCAACUCUUAAUUGUAACCAAUGCUUAGCCAGUUGAUAUGUUGAUAUCAAUUAAUGUUAGGGUAAUAAGGUUAACGAUUAGAUUUUUGUUAGACACACAUAAGACAAGGUAAUCAGAAUGAAGUACCACUUUGAAGAUUCAGUUUUAGCUUGUUUUCCUCUCCUUAGUGCCUCUAAUGGUUCCUUAUGUUAAUGUUGAUAAUGUUGAUGAUGAUGACAGUAAAAAUUUAAAGUCAAGUUGGAAGCAUCAUCUUACUCGGUUUGUUCAUUAGGAUUGGUGUGAUUUGAUCUUGUCUAGAGUCAAAUUAAAUGCAAAGUAUCUCUUAAAAAUAGUUUAAUGUAGUUACUCUGCUUGGUUUAACCUAACUAACUGUAUAUUUUCACUGAUUAACGAUAAGAAAUGAACAACAACUAACUGAAAGAGAAAAAGAAAGAAAUGUCUUCUAAUUUCUUGUAUUUAUUUUCCUCCUCAUCAACAUUAUCAUCAUCAUCAUCAUCAUCUUAUUUUGCUCGAGAAAAUAGAGAAAGAAGAGAAAAGCAAAACUCCAUUGAGGUCAGAGAUCGAGAGAUAAUUUUGUGUGACAACAAAAGCUUAUUUACAUCGCCAAUCCUUUUUAUAACUUUACAUUACAAUUAUCAUGAGUAUCAUUUGUUGGUUUCAAUUCAACUUUUCAACCUUAUCUGCAUCAGCAAGUACUAAGUAUCAUGUUUCUCUAUCAAUUGUGAAUCAAUUGAAGGAAAAAAGAAUUUGAUACCUUUACGUGCUUAGAUAAGCACCUUACCAUAGACACUAAACCUCACUCUUUACCUGAUCAUUCUGAUAACAAUGUCAACACACAGAUUAACCUGAAGACUGAAGAGAAGCAAAAAUUUCAAAUUGUUUCCAUUUUCAGCCAAAAAAUCCUUCCCCUUCACCUUCAACAUUACAAGUGUUUACUAACCUUUAAACUUUUCCUGAUUUCUUGUUUCAGAAUUGAAAAUGUCAUUAAAGCUCAUCAUUCCCAUGAGAUUCAAUUUGAACUGCCUGUUACUUGCCUGAUAACUCGUGGUUUGUCAUUUUUUUUAACUCAACUUUUCCUUUUCUCUUCUCUCAUUGUUCUUUCUAUAUUGUUUGAUUGUAAAUGAUUGAUGUUACUUUGCACAUCACUUGGUUCAUUAAAAAUUGCAAUCUUUUUUU